rnacentral:rRNA from 1 species
GGCGGCGUGCUUAACACAUGCAAGUCGAACGAUGAAACCACUUCGGUGGGGAUUAGUGGCGAACGGGUGAGUAACACGUGGGCAAUCUGCCCUGCACUCUGGGACAAGCCCUGGAAACGGGGUCUAAUACCGGAUACUGACCCUCGCAGGCAUCUGCGAGGUUCGAAAGCUCCGGCGGUGCAGGAUGAGCCCGCGGCCUAUCAGCUUGUUGGUGAGGUAAUGGCUCACCAAGGCGACGACGGGUAGCCGGCCUGAGAGGGCGACCGGCCACACUGGGACUGAGACACGGCCCAGACUCCUACGGGAGGCAGCAGUGGGGAAUAUUGCACAAUGGGCGAAAGCCUGAUGCAGCGACGCCGCGUGAGGGAUGACGGCCUUCGGGUUGUAAACCUCUUUCAGCAGGGAAGAAGCGAAAGUGACGGUACCUGCAGAAGAAGCGCCGGCUAACUACGUGCCAGCAGCCGCGGUAAUACGUAGGGCGCAAGCGUUGUCCGGAAUUAUUGGGCGUAAAGAGCUCGUAGGCGGCUUGUCACGUCGGUUGUGAAAGCCCGGGGCUUAACCCCGGGUCUGCAGUCGAUACGGGCAGGCUAGAGUUCGGUAGGGGAGAUCGGAAUUCCUGGUGUAGCGGUGAAAUGCGCAGAUAUCAGGAGGAACACCGGUGGCGAAGGCGGAUCUCUGGGCCGAUACUGACGCUGAGGAGCGAAAGCGUGGGGAGCGAACAGGAUUAGAUACCCUGGUAGUCCACGCCGUAAACGGUGGGCACUAGGUGUGGGCAACAUUCCACGUUGUCCGUGCCGCAGCUAACGCAUUAAGUGCCCCGCCUGGGGAGUACGGCCGC